rnacentral:rRNA from 1 species
GAUGAACGCUGGCGGCGUGCCUAAUACAUGCAAGUCGAACGCGUUGUGGUUGAAAUGAUAUGAAGAACUUGUUCAGAUUUGAUUUUCAACAUUGCAAUGAGUGGCGAACGGGUGAGUAACACGUGGGAAACCUACCUCUUAGCAGGGGAUAACAUUUGGAAACAAAUGCUAAUACCGUAUAAUAAUUAAAACCGCAUGGUUUUAGUUUAAAAGAUGGUCUUGCUAUCACUAAGAGAUGGUCCCGCGGUGUAUUAGUUAGUUGGUGAGGUAAUGGCUCACCAAGACAAUGAUACAUAGCCGAGUUGAGAGACUGACCGGCCACAAUGGGACUGAGACACGGCCCAUACUCCUACGGGAGGCAGCAGUAGGGAAUCUUCCACAAUGGACGAAAGUACUGAUGGAGCAACGCCGCGUGUGUGAUGAAGGGUUUCGGCUCGUAAACACUGUUGUAAGAGAAGAAUGACAUUGAGAGUAACUGUUCAAUGUGUGACGGUAUCUU